AAAUUGAAGAGUUUGAUCAUGGCUCAGAUUGAACGCUGGCGGCAGGCCUAACACAUGCAAGUCGAACGGUAACAGGAAGCAGCUUGCUGCUUUGCUGACGAGUGGCGGACGGGUGAGUAAUGGCCAGGAAACUGCCGGAAUGAGCGGGAAAACUACUGGAAACGGUGGCUAAUACCGCAUAACGUCGCAAGACCAAAGAGGGGGACCUUCGGGCAUC
rnacentral:rRNA from 1 species